CGGUUUGGAACGAAGCCCCAGGUGUCCUUAACCUUAGCGCCUUUCGUCCUCUCGUGAACGCGCACAUUACGAAUGUGCACGUACGAGGCGGGAUCCUGUUACCAUGACAAUUACGUCAACAUUGGUGUCGCGCGCUGUCGGGUAACUAAAGGUCAAACUAAAGACAAGCGACAGAGACGGAAGGAAGGAAGCGGAAUGGCGGAGACUCGGAAUUUGUGUCAGCCAGAGCCGGAGGAAAUAAAAGAGUAAUAAAGUGUAGUGUAACCUGCUUUGAGUGCUAUCGAGUGAAGUGAAGGCGAAUGUAACGAGGUAUAUUAGAGUGAAAGGACAAGUGUGUGUGUGUGUGUGUGUGUGUGUGGAUUAGCCGUUAGCUAGCUAGGAUCUGACUGGGGCUCAUUAGCACAAUGACUUUCAGCCGUCUUUAGCAAGUGUGCUAAAACACUUUACUGUUCAACAACGACUCGCUUUUUUUCAGUUUCGUCUCUUUAAUUCUCACAAAACUAAGUUUACAGCCGUUUUGUGACGCGGUGUGUAUUCGUACAGACACCGUUAGCAUGUCAGCUUCCUCUUCGACCAACUUUGUAACUGCUACAAAAACAACUUGGCCUUUGCUUCGUGUGUGUUCAGGAGAUGUGUAUUAGUGUGUUGUGUUUUGUCUCUCUCUCUGUCUCUCUCUUCUGAGAGUGUAUGAGGUUUAAAUAUAUUUCCGGGCAGUUAAUGUAAAUAGACAGACAAACCUGAGUUUUAUUUCGGUAACGUUUGGCUUUUUUUUUACGUCUUAACAUGUGGCUUUGGUAAGAAUGUUUUGCAAGAAGGUUUUCCACAGGUAGUGAUGUAGCCAAGUGUGUGAGUGUACCCCGAAUAGUGUCAACUAAACAGAGAUUAAAGUCUAAACGCUUCAGAAUAAUAAACUCCUACAGGUUGAUCUUUUUUUUUUUUUUUAUACCAUGUAGAAGUGUGUAAAUGUUCACCAUGAUCCCGGUUUAAAUGCAGACUGGUAUCUGACUUUGUGUUGUUCCUCUUCUUUGCGCUGUAGAGGGCAGUCCACACUGCACUUUACUCCUCCAUCUAUUGCUGCUCUUUUCUUUUGUUUUCUGUGUGUGAAACAUCAGCUGUACGUAUUGAUUGUGUGUGAACUGAGCCGGUUGUUUGUGAUUGUAAACAUCCCCGACUGGAAGCUGUGUGUGAAGUGUUGAGCUUUCAGUUGGAUGUUUGCUGCCACUGACCAUCAACGUCGUCGUCAUCAUCCGUACUUGAUUGAAUACACGAAGAAGCUGUUUAAUGCGAGACAAGUGACAGUCCAGCUGCAGUCCCUGUAAACAUCCUACACUCAGCUGUAGUGUGGAUGAAACGCUGAGAGGAGGGUGUUUGCUUUGACUGGUUGGAAAACCACCGUGAUGCAGAUUGUGGAAGAAAUGGAUAGCAACGCAUAGAAUUGUAUAAAUCUCGUAAUCGGUAUGAUGAACCUUUGUAUGACUGAUAAUCUGAAUAAAAGUUUAUUUAUUACUGUG